rnacentral:lncRNA from 1 species
GGAAGAGACAGGCGAGCAAUAGAAGUGUCAACUGUUUAAUUGAGGGAGGGUAAUGAAGCACCUAUCAGGCAGGAGACAUAAGCAUGUCUGAGUUUCUCAGUGGCAAGCUUUUUUCUGUGUGGCUCUCCUGGUGCCCACGGCAGAUAGAGAUGAACUUACUUGAUGUCACACAAGAGGGCCACCCCUCUCAGGAUCCAGUGAUCCGGGGACAGCACCGUGCGCAGGUACACCACGGUGAUGAAGGUGAGGUCAGUCCGCCUGGGUUUCUUGUAGAUAGGACACACGUACAGCUUCGGAUCCUUGGGCGCCGUGGAGUUAAUGGCAAAAAUAUGCAGAACAGGAAGCUGCGUGAAGAGAACCUUCGGGGUGGAUUCUGUGAGCUUCCCGUUCCGCCUGUCCCAGGAUGCUCCAUCCAUAUACAGCCCGUAAAUAUACACGCCUUCCUGGAGGACCAAGCGACAGAGAAGGAGAGGUGCUGAAAACUAGGCAUCCCUUAUGUAAUGAGGGCUGUCAGUUCGGAAAGAAAACACAAGCCAGUCUUAAGGUGCUAGCUGAUAAGAAAACGCCAGGGGGGGCAAUCGCAUUCACGGAAACAUUUGGCCUUGUUUCCCAGGGGACACAGUGAAUCUAACUGCACCUCGGGAGUGCCCUGCUGCGAGUUAUUGGAACGUGGAGUGGUCGACCUGGGAAACAGGAAGGCCAAGUCACCUCUGCGGGGAGUUGUAAAUCCAGUUUGAGCUGUUGCAAGCCUACGACUUGGCGCUGUUGUCAAUGGCACCUUGCGCUGAGUCAAUCUAGGCAACCCUAGGCUCCACCCCACCUCCUCCACGUGAUGAAAUGAGAGUAGAGCGCCCCCAGAGGCCUGGGGUGGUACAGCAAGGUAGACACGAGAAAGUGGGACAGAGUUGGCCCUCCCCUGUCGAUGACCAACCAUCUUCCCUACGUUCUUUCCUACAAACGGACUUGCCUUUGUGGGCCUCACCUCUAAACCGAGGAAGCAAGACCCCCAAGAAAAGGUGACAGCUUGAAAUUUGUUAGUGGAGCUGCCUGGUGAUGAGUUCUGAGGGUAAACGCAGUGACUUUGGACUGAGGUCAUGAGGGCUUUAGCCAUGAGAGUGGACUGUGGCAGGAACGGCUUGAAGAGAUCCCUGAAGUGCCGCAGGAAGUGUAUGGAAAGGAGGAGGAGGAAGCCAGAGCAACUCCACAGAGAUGGACAGGCUGGGCUGAGACAAUACUUUACUUUCUGACAGAGGGUUCCAAGGUAAUAAAGUGAGGUAUCACUUGACCGUGGAA